GGGAAUGGGGUAUACGUGCGGUAAUUGGCGUGGCUUUCGGGUUGCGUCAAAGCAUUUAUUAGACUAAACCAUCUACUAUGCUCGCAUAGUAAGGGGAAUCUGGAUAACUUUGCUGAUCGUAUGGCCCAGCGCCGGCGACGUUUCAAUUGAGUUUCUGCCCUAUCAACUUGUUGGUAAGGUAUUGGCUUACCAAGGUUGCAACGGGUAACGGGGAAUCAGGGUUCGAUUCCGGAGAGGGAGCCUGAGAAACGGCUACCACAUCCAAGGAAGGCAACAGGCGCGCAAAUUACCCAAUCUAGACAGUAGGAGGUGGUGAAGAGAAUUACUAAGUGGUGGUCCAAUGGAUCACUUGUUUGGAAUGAACGUAACUUAAGAAAUUCGAUGAGAAACAACUGGAGGGCAAGUCCUGGUGCCAGCAGCCGCGGUAAUUCCAGCUCCAGUAGUUUGCUUUAAAGUUGUUGCGUUUAAAACGCUCGUAGUUGGAUCACGCAGCAUUGCCCGGUAAUCUAUUGUGGGAGAUUGGAGGGUGGGCUCGUCUCGUACGGCCUCCCACCGAGUCCGGCAUUAGAUGUUGACGCCGAGCUUUGCUAGUUGCACGUGAGAUAGAUGGUUGGCCUUGAAUGCGCUGAUAUUCUCGUCUUGCGGAGUGUGCCUUGAAUAAAACAGAGUGCUUAAAGCAGGUCGUUGCCUGAAUGUUAUAGCAUGGAACGAACAAUCGUGUAUAUGUGUGCGUCUCGGGAUGGUGAUGAAUCUUUGGGUUAUUGUUGUCGGAGAUGCACACGGCACCCACCAAAAUAUGGCUGUUGGUUUCCAUAUACGGUUGAUGAUUAACAGGAAGCGGUUGGGGGCAUCUGUAAUUUGGCCGCGAGAGGUGAAAUUCAUAAGACCGGCCAAGGACUAACAAAUGCAAAGGCUACUUGUCUAGACCGUUUCCAUUAAUCUAGAACAAAAUGUGGUAGUUUCCUACAACAAUCAAAAUACCGUUUAUAUUUUCCACCGUAUAACUAGUCCCGACUCUGGGAUUCUUAUUGGAAUAUUUCACAAUUCUCCAAAUUUUGUUCCCUCUUGAUAAACCCUAAAUUUUUUUGUUUUAUCUGG
rnacentral:rRNA from 1 species